rnacentral:tRNA from 1 species
GGAAGCUAGACUCUGCCGGUGCAGGGCCCGGUCUUCAAAACCGGAGUGCGGCACUUUUCAUGUCACGGGUGGGUUCGACUCCCAUUAGCUUCCGCCA